rnacentral:rRNA from 1 species
AACGGCUUACCAAGGCUACGAUGGGUAGCCGGCCUGAGAGGGUGACCGGCCACAUUGGAACUGAGACACGGUCCAGACUCCUACGGGAGGCAGCAGCUAAGAAUCUUCCGCAAUGGACGAAAGUCUGACGGAGCGACGCCGCGUGGAGGAUGAAGGCGUUAUGCGUUGUAAACUCCUUUUAUAUGGGAAGAUAAUGACUGUACCCUAUGAAUAAGCAUAGGCUAAUUACGUGCCAGCAGCCGCGGUAAUACGUAAUAUGCAAGCGUUAUUCGGAAUUACUGGGCGUAAAGGGAGCGUAGGUGGCUAAAUAAGUCGGAUGUGAAAUCCUACGGCUUAACCGUAGAACUGCGUUCGAAACUGUCUAGCUUGAGUCCGGGAUGGGAUGGCGGAAUUCCUGGUGUAGGAGUGAAAUCUAUAGAUAUCAGGAAGAACACCGGUGGCGAAGGCGGCCAUCUGGCCUAGGACUGACACUGAGGCUCGAAAGCGUGGGGAGCGAACGGGAUUAGAUACCCCGGUAGUCCACGCCGUAAACGUUGUACACUAGGUGUUAGUGGUAUCGAUCCCACUAGUGCCGCAGUUAACGCAUUAAGUGUACCGCCUGGGGAGUAUGCCCGCAAGGGUGAAACUCAAAGGAAUUGACGGGGGCCCGCACAAGUGGUGGAGCAUGUGGUUUAAUUCGAUGAUACGCGAAGAACCUUACCUAGGCUUGACAUAUUCAGGAAUGUCUGUGAAAGCAGGCAGCCCUUCGGGGCCUGAAUACAGGUGGUGCAUGGUUGUCGUCAGCUCGUGCCGUGAGGUGUUGGGUUAAGUCCCGCAACGAGCGCAACCCCUAUUGAUUGUUGCUACCGGGUAAUGCCGGGCACUCGAUCGAAACUGCCGUUAAAAACGGAGGAAGGUGGGGAUGACGUCAAAUCAUCAUGCUCCUUAUGUCUAGGGCUACACACGUGCUACAAUGGCUGAUACAAAGGGCAGCAAG